AUUGAAAAAAUGUAUGCUCUAGCAUAACAACAGUACAAAACACAAAAAAAUUAGUAAAAUAAAUUCAAAGUGUAUUAAAAAAUUAAUAAAAUUCAAAGUGCAUACAAAAUUUAAGUGAGAAAAUAAAAUAUAUUAAAACUUACCUUCACCAUGGAAAUUGGCGUGGCCUUGAACAACGAACUAGAAGUUCGGAUCUCGGAGGCCUUUUGCGUGUUUGAUACUCAUGGCGAUAAAUACAUGGACACUCGCAAUGUGGGAAAUGUUCUCAGAUUCUUAGGCUGUGUGCCGACCGAAAAAGAAGUCAACGACGUCAUGGCAGCCACCGAGUCCAUAGAUUACCCGGGGGAAACACAGCUACCAAAGUUUAUGGCCCAUGUCUCCCAGCUGCUUAUGGAUGAACAAAUGCAACCAGCGUCGACAGAAAAGCUGUAUGAAGCAUUUCAGGUGCUCGAUCCAGAAAACCAUAAAUAUCUUACCAAAGAGUAUUUCGGAAAGUUAAUGCUGGAGGACGGAGAACCCUUCACUGAAGAGGAGCUGGAGGCCAUGUGGCCGGUGGCCAUUGAUCCGAUCACUGGAAACAUUCCCUACACGUUCUAUAUUAACCAACUGAAGCACAAGGGCACAAUUUAUGAGGUGGCUGCAGCAGUGAAGGAGGAGAUUGUUCAGGCCGAACAGGGGCGCAAGAAGUAAGGAAGAAAAAAAAACAGUGUUUUUGGCCAGGAUAAUUAUGUUUAAAUAAAAAUUACCGGACUUAUUCAGCUUGUAACAUUAAAGCGAAUAUCAAAAUGGCGAAUGGGACAGAGAACGAUUAACCCAUUGUCGACCAGUGGGUUUUUAAAUACAAACAAUAAAAUUAUGAAACUUGAAGAAUUGUAACGCAGUUCAGGUGAAAAAUAUCGUGGUCAUUUCUUUAUUAAGUAAACAGAAAGGAUGGAUGAAAAAGCAGGCUUUAAAAAUAUUAUUUUUCGCGGUUGAUGUCAACUUGUUCACCUGUUUAAAUAGAGGGGGUCUGAAGGGUUAAUUUCGUUCACUCAUCAAUAAACUCCGUUAUCGAUAACUAAAAAACCAACCAAAAACAGCCACGUCAGCUUUUCCACCCAACCACUCGAAAACGAACACGCCAUCAUACAGAGUCCAGAAUUACAAGGUGAAUGAAAAAGUUGCAUGAGAUUGAAACCGAAAAGCCUGGAGCAGAGGCAAUGAAGAAGUUGAAAUCGGCAAGGCUGAGAAGCGCGGUCACGGCAAAUGAGACGAUCUAAGCAAAACAAAAAUCAGAUAAAAUUCGGUGCCCGAGCACAACACACGGAAACCAUGCAAAUUUGAUUUCGGCAACACUUUCUUAAAGGUUGCGCACUCCAAACAACAGUUUAUUAUUUUAUCUGAGUAACAUUAAAAUAUGGCACCGACCGCUAAUGCCUACUUGAUAACCGUGGACUCGGGCGUGGCCAUAUCAA